rnacentral:rRNA from 1 species
UACGUAGGGGGCAAGCGUUGUCCGGAUUUAUUGGGCGUAAAUCGCUCGCAGGCGGCUCGAUGCGUCGUGCGUGAAACACCCCGGCUCAACUGGGGAGGGUCGUGCGAUACGGUCGGGCUGGAGGCCAGUAGGGGGAUGCGGAAUUCCGGGUGUAGUGGUGGAAUGCGUAGAGAUCCGGAGGAACACCAGCGGCGAAGGCGGCAUCCUGGACUGGUCCUGACGCUCAGGAGCGAAAGCGUGGGGAGCGAUCCGG